ACAGACCUCCAGACUACACUCUGAGGCCAUUCCUGAAAAACCUGCCAGAGCGAUGUCUCCAUUCUGGAGUCAUGAAGACCUACCAUAGUUACCAUGACCCUGUAUACUGUGUAUUGUCCUGUGAUGAUUCAUGAUCUAGAUCUUUGA